CAGCAAUCAGCCUGUCCUGGGAAGCAUCUUGGCUAAAUUAAGUCACAAGCUGUGUAUGCCCCACAAUCCUGAAUUCCAUGCCUGACCACACUGAGGGCUCAGGGAAACAGACCAGGUUCCAGAUGUUACCAUGAUGCCAACCUGACUUCCUUGGGCAGACGGCCCCACCAUGUGUCCUGAAGCUCCAUCUCCCCAGAGCUCUGCCCCACUAGGGAAAGAGAAAGACAGGCUGGGAAUACGGAUCAACCUGUCAAUACCCACGUUCAGAAGGGAAGCAAUUACAGAAGCCAGACCUUCCUCCUUCUGCACCCUGGGCUCAUGCCCCCAGAGGGUUAAAGAAUAGGAAAGCUAUCAGGGGAUGGAAUGGGAUAUGGAGUUCUGAUGGAGGGAACUGUGUGGAAUUGUACCCCUCUUAUCCUAUGGUCUUGUCAGUGUUUCCAUUUUAUAAAUAAAAAUUAAAAAAAUUAAAAUAA